rnacentral:rRNA from 1 species
CGCGGCCUAUCAGCUUGUUGGUGGGGUAAUGGCCUACCAAGGCGACGACGGGUAGCCGGCCUGAGAGGGCGACCGGCCACACUGGGACUGAGACACGGCCCAGACUCCUACGGGAGGCAGCAGUGGGGAAUAUUGCACAAUGGGCGGAAGCCUGAUGCAGCGACGCCGCGUGAGGGAUGACGGCCUUCGGGUUGUAAACCUCUUUCACCCAUGACGAAGCGCAAGUGACGGUAGUGGGAGAAGAAGCGCCGGCCAACUACGUGCCAGCAGCCGCGGUAAGACGUAGGGCGCGAGCGUUGUCCGGAAUUAUUGGGCGUAAAGAGCUCGUAGGCGGCUUGUCGCGUCGGCUGUGAAAUCCCGUGGCUCAACUGCGGGUCUGCAGCCGAUACGGGCAGGCUAGAGUUCGGUAGGGGAGACUGGAAUUCCUGGUGUAGCGGUGAAAUGCGCAGAUAUCAGGAGGAACACCGAUGGCGAAGGCAGGUCUCUGGGCCGAUACUGACGCUGAGGAGCGAAAGCGUGGGGAGCGAACAGGAUUAGAUACCCUGGUAGUCCACGCUGUAAACGUUGGGCGCUAGGUGUGGGGGACCUCUCCGGUUCUCUGUGCCGCAGCUAACGCAUUAAGCGCCCCGC